ensembl:lncRNA LINC01138 long intergenic non-protein coding RNA 1138
CUGCAGAUACAGUAGGAAGAUGGCAGUCUAUGACCAGGAAGAGGUUCCUCACCAUAACCCUACCAUGCUGGCACCUUGACCUUAGACUUCCAAACUCCAGAACUGUGAGAAAUGUCUGUUGUGGAUCAGCUACCCAGUUUAUGAUCGGCCCUUUCUUCAAAUAAGAGCAGUUGGAACAACAAAAGCUGUUCAGUUGUACCCUUGGAAUCCACGGAAAUCCUGGGUAGGGAAGCUCCAGUACCACCAACUGGAAAGACUGGGAAUGCCUAGUAGCUGGUACUGGCCAUUGUCGUAGGCUUUGUCCACUUUGACAAACUGAAGACGGGGACUCGACUCACCUUCGCCAGCCACAGGAGGACCUCCAGACGAGGACCGGACUCGCCGCCUUUCUUUCCCGUCAGAAAGGGAUCCCUUGCGGACAAGACCGAAUGGCCCCUAAGGCUUCUCUGCAGGUCCAACCGAAACAGGCCUGAAGUUCCAGGAUGGGCGAGAGGAUCCUCUUUGAGCGAAACCAGCCUUCUGCCUGGCUGGCCCUGGUCAACACACUCGGAAGAGGCCGAUUUGGAGGACAGAACGGAAGAAAAGACCUAAAGAACUGACACAUUUGUGCCUAGCAUAGUGAUGCUGUUGUCUGCAGAAGGGUCACAGCCUUCAGGGACUCUCCUGCCAGUGCUGUAUUUUGCCUGCACCCCUCUGGCUUGGCUUCUGCACUGAGACCCUCCUAACAAAUGAUCCUCAUCCAAUCACUUAAAGGCCUGAAUAGAACCAAAAGUCUGACCUGCCCAUGAGUAAGAGAGAGCUCCUUCUGCCUGAUUGCUUCAGCUGAGAUAUCAGCCUUUUCCUGCCUUUGGAAUUGAACUGCAACACUGGCUCUUCCUGGGCCUCAAGCCUGCCAGCUUUUGAACUGUAAUCACACCAUCAUCUCUCCUGGUUCUCAGGCCUUUGGACUCAAAUCAGAAACACACCAUGGGCUCUCCUGUGUCUCAAGCUUGCCAACUGUGAUCUUGAGACUUCUCAGCCUCCAUAAUCACAUGAGUCAAUUGUUGGUUCUGUUUCUCUGGAGAACCCUAAUCCAUCACUUUACAUAUUUCUUCCAUUACACAUAUUGUUUCCCAGCAUAUUAAAUAAUUUACUGAUUAU